ensembl:snRNA U6 U6 spliceosomal RNA
GUGCUCGCUUCAGCAGCACAUAUACUAAAAUUGAAACGAUACACAGAGAAGAUUAGCAAGGCCCAUGCAAAAGGAUGACAUGCAAAUCUGUGAAGUAUCCCAUAGUUUU